UAUUGCAGGAUUGUCGGAUGGGGUCCCAGACCUCAAUUAACAUACCACUCGAGGGUGUAUAUGAGUGUAUGACAACAGUAUUUCGGGGAAAAUAUAUUUGUUUUAAUUGUACAUGUUUGGAUAACAAUUUAAAUAGCAUGAUAAGUUUUUGUUUAUAUAAUAUGCCUAUAAUAGGAUGAAAGUCUCCUCAGCUGUAAUUUUUUUUAAAAAAUAGGUAGGUACAUUUAAAUACUUCCAGAGAGAUUAUAGUUUUUAUAAUUUUAAUUGAUUAACGUAUUCUUACCACGUUGCGGUUUAUUACUUUUUAGGUAGUUUUUGUUGUGUUAUGAAAAACACGACUCUCUGUAGGUAGGUAUAUAAAAGGUCAAUGCUGGGCAUAUAAUGUGUGUUUAAUUUAAAUAGAGGUUAUUUCUUCAUGAAUAAAAAUCAAAUUUGGUGUCGUUGAUUUUAAUUUUAAAUAUAAUUAUUAUAGUAUGUUAUAUAGACCCGUUUUGUGAUAUAUAGUACUAUAAACCAUAAACGAACAUCUGAUUUAAAAAUAAUAAAUUAACUUAUAGUUCAGAGAACAACAUAUUAAGUAUACUAAUAAUAAUUUAUCGACGAGUGUUAUUUAUAUACUAUGACGUGUUGAAUAACAGUGAACAUAAUUUCUGAGACAAAAUCGUUAUCGAACGCUAUAAAAAAAAAUAUUUUUUUUUUCACUUUUAAAUUCCGAUGACCUAUAUCGAUAACGCUGACAUUGUUCGAUUCGGUUGAUUAUGUUUUUAUUUAUUUUUUCAUUUCAUAUAUUAUAGCUAUAGCCAAUCAACCGUUUUUUAUGAGGCCACUUUAUUUACGUCGCCCACGUCACAAACGCGUGCAUAGAUAAACACGCCAGGUGAACAGGAGCAUAUGGUCAAUUCGUCUUGGUGGCGUUUUUGUUUUUGCCAUCGCCCGCGCCGUUGCUUCAAUUACAUUAUUAUUAUUAUUAUUAUUGUUAUUUUUUCUCCACGCUGAGCGUACGUGUGUUUGUAAAGCACCUAGAGGCAUCUAGGAAAAUCGUCGUUCCGGACCUGUUGAAACCCAUACAAUCCAACAGCUGCCCGAUGGAAUAAUGUACCCAUAAGUAUGGUCAAAAUCAUGAACUCAAAAAUUCCAUUUACGUAUAAUGUACCAUAUAUUACGAUAUUCUAUAGCUGUCUGGAAAUUCAGUAGCACCAUCCCUUUAAUCAUUCAUUAUUUGGGCAGAAGAACUACGAAGGAGGUAUACUGUUGUGACUUGAAAAGAUCAAUUUUAUUUAAGUGUUUUUAUGUUGUAUAGCAUUUUUAUUGUGAAACCAUGGGAUUUUACCGUCAAAGAUACUAUGUGUCGAAUAACAAUUUUAAUUAUUUGUAAAUUAUAUUAUAGUUGUAAAGUGUAGUGCACCUUAGCUACGACUAUGAUACCCUGAAUAUAAUUGAUAUUUGAUUACCGCUUACGUAAGUAGUGAUUUUAGUUCAAAAUUAUGACGCAGUAAAAAUAUUAAGUUAUGUUUUAUUUCUCA